AUCCUUUGAUUUUGGGGAAAAUAGAAGACAAGUGGACCUUCUAAUACAUGCUAGUGCAGAAUCCCUUCAGGGAAUUGCCGCGAACAGGUGAGGAAACCCGGAAUCCAAGCCUUCCGAGGCUGGGCCGGAGACGUAUUAGGUAGAAGGGCGGUGUCAAAGACCACCUUGCCGAAGAUGCGCAACCUUUAAUCGGAAGUCACACUUUCACUGAAACAAGGGGAAGGCUCAUAAAGUCCCUUAGGACGAGGCAGCAGUAGAGAAUAUUGUGCAAUAUACGAUAGUAUGACACAGAGAGCACACAUCCCACUUAGCCUGUCAAAUUAAGUGCCAGCAGACGCGGUUAGACUUAAGGGCUAAGCCUUUAUAGGUAAAAGGGCGUAAAGGGUGUGUAGGCCGACAAUUCCCCCCCCAAGGUGGUAAAUGGAAUUUUUCUGUAACGGUAGAAUGUGUGGAUAGAAAAUAGAACCCCAAAGGCAAAAGCAAUUUACCUCGGGGAUGGGGGGAAACCAGAGAUUCCCAUCGGGACCUAUCACUCCCCCCGAGCACAGGCUGAAACACGAGGGUGUGGGGAACAAACAGGAUUAGAGACCCUGGUAGUCCACACUGUAAACGAUGAAGAAAAUGUUAAUGCAACCCCGAAAGGUAGUAAUCUUCCGCCUGAGUAGUACGAUCGCAAGAUUAAAAUUCAAAAAAUUUGGCUGUUCACUGUUUCGAUUAGAGGAGCGUGUAGUUUAAUUCGAUAAACCGCGAGAUACCUUACCCAAACUUGAAUCACCCAUCCGAGAUUGAAUGGUCUCGGGGGGGUAGACCGGUAUUGCAUGGCCGUCGUCAGUUCGUGUAUGAAACCUUUAACGGACCUAACCCGAGGGGUUAGCCGCGGAUGAAGUCAGGUCUUAUGAUCCCUAUGUUUGGGGAUAAUAUGCGCUACAUUUUCUUAUACAAUGGGAAACCUGAAAGGUGAAACCCCAAAGUAGGAGUUCGGUAGGUCAUUGUAAGAUGACCGAAAGUUGAAUUUAAUAGUAAUCGGAAAGUAGAGCGUUCCGGUGAAAUGGUCUAAGUGUUAGCACAAAUCGCCCGUCACCUUAACUUAGAACGAUAGUUCGGACGCAGCCCGGCCUGCUCGCAAUGUCGAGGCCCCCCAUGAGGGGGUGAGGCUUCGGUGGUCACGAAUCUCUACGAAGUUAAGCAAGUCGUAACAUAGUGAGGGAAGGGGAACCUUCCCUUG
rnacentral:rRNA from 1 species